UCAGUGGUUAAGAGCAUUGCCUGCUCUUCCAAAGGUCCUGAGUUCAAUUCCCAGCAACCACAUGGUGGCUCACAACCAUCUGUAAAGAGGUCUGGCACCCUCUUCUGGCCUUCAGGCAUACAGACAGAAUAUUGUAUACAUAAUAAAUAAAUAAAUAUUUUAAAAAAUUCAACUUUUAGGUCAGGUGUGUCACACACCUGUAGGAGACAGAGGAAGCAAGGAUUGAGAGAUAAGUGGCAAUUUGGGCUACAUAACAAAGCCCCCAGCAAACAGGAGUUUAUUCUCUCUUUUUUUUUUUGUUUUUUUUGGUUUUUCGAGACAAGGUUUCUCUGUGGUUUUGGUUCCUUUCCUGGAACUAGCUCCUCUAGACCAGGCUGGUCUCGAACUCACAGAGAUCCGCCUGCCACUGCCUCUCGAGUGCUGGGAUUAAAGGCGAGGAGUUUAUUAUCUUACUCCUUCCUCUGAAGGCCAGAAAUGAAGCCCAACCCAAGUUCAAUGAGCUGAAGCCCGAGUUACAGGAUUGGUUCCUUUUAGAGGAAGCAGAGGGAACCAUUUUCCGCCUCCCAUGGCUUCCAGAGGGACUUGGUUUGGACCCUUCAUCCUUGAAGCCCGCUUUCCUGUCUCUCUUACCUACCUUUUCUUGUUGUUGUUUUGGCUUUUGUGUUUUGAGAUAGGAUUUCUCCGUGUAGCCCUGACUGUCCUGCAAGUUGGUCUGUGGACCAGGCUGGCCUUGAUGUCACAGAAAUCUGCCUGCCUGCUUUUGCCUCCUGAGUGCCCUGCUUUUGCCUCCUGAGUGCUAGGAUUAAAGGCAUUAGUUUAACUGUCCUGCUCCCUUACCCACUUUUAUUUUUUUCUUUUAAAUAUUUAUUUAUUUAUUAUGUAUACAAUAUUCUAUCUGUGUGUAUGUCUGCAGACCAGAAGAGGGUGCCAGACCUCAUUACAGAUGGUUGUGAGCCACCAUGUGGUUGCUGGGAAUUGAACUCAGGACCUUUGGAAGAGCAGGCAAUGCUCUUAACCACUGAGCCAUCUCUCCAGCCCCCUUACCCACUUUUAAAGACUCCUAUUAGUGAGUAUCUUGGGCCCAUCUGAAUAAAGCCAAAGACCUCCACUUUAAAAGACAGUGUCCUGGGUGGCCAGCCUGGACUAUAGAGCGAGUUCCAGGACAGCCAGGACUGUUAAACAGAGAAACCUUGAGGGAAGGGGCAGUGACCUGGUACCUUGGUUGAUUUUGUGUCAGCAUAGCUAAAGUCAUUUGAGAAGAGGGACUCGAUUGAGAAAUCCCUGUGUAAGAUUUGCCUGUAGGCUAGUGCAUUUAUUUGAUUAAUGACUGAGAUGGAUCCAUCCCAUAGGAUGGAAGGGGGGUGUGAUGCUAUGUCAUAGGAUGGAAGGGGGGUUGGUAGGCCUUAGGUAUAUAAGAAAACAGACUGAACAAGCCAAUAAGCAGAAUCUCUUCAUGGCUCUGUUUCAGUUGUCUUGAGCUCCUGCCCUAACUCCCCUCAGUGAUGGACUGUGACCUGAGAGUUGAAAGCUAAAAUAAACCCUUUCCUCCUCAAGUUGCUUGUGGUCAUAGUGUUUUCUCAUAGCAGUAGGACCCCUAAGACAUCUGGUAACCUUUUACUAUCUACUUCUUUAAUCCCUCUUGUGCAGAACCAAGCAUAUUCAUAUAAUCCAUGGAUGAAAGCAUGGACCUCUUGUUGGGUGAUAAUUCUGCCUUUCCGAAACUUAUAAACCACAAAAGGAAAGAUAGUAAGUGGUCUUUUGUUUGUUUGUUUUCAAGACAGGGUUUCUCUGUAGCUUUAGAGCCUGUCCUGGAACUAGCUCUUGUCGACCAGGCUGGCCUCAGACUCACAGAGAUCCACCUGCCUCUGCCUCCCGAGUGCUGGGAUUAAAGGUGUGCACCACCACCACCUGGCACAAUAAUUGGUCUUAAUAAUAAAAAGCCUGAGUCUGAUACAGGUGUAAAUUCUGAAAGAUCAGAGAAGCAAAGGAGCCAGCCACUAGAGAGACCUUCAGAUCAAAGUGGGCAAGAUUGUGUCUGCAUGGAUCCUCAGACUGAAUGCUCUGAGCUCCUGUCUUCCUGCCUCCACCUCCCUAGUGCAGGGAUUAAAGGCCUGUGACUCUUAAGAACUAGUAUUAAAGGUGUGCACCACCACUGCCUGGCCUCUAUGGCUAACUAGUGCCGCUAGCUCUGCACUCUGAUCUUUAGGCAGACUUUGUCUGUGUAAAAGCCCUAGCUCUCUUGGAACUUGUUCUGUAGACCAGGCUGGCCUCGAACUCACUGAGACCUAACGGGAGCUACUGAGUACCAACCCCAGCCCCCCUUCAGGGUCCAGAACAGGAUGUCUAUUCUAUGGCAAGCGAAAACAGGCUGGGAGAAGGAAUCUGAGAAGUAGAACAAACUGACUCACGUUUCCUCUGCAUGUUUCUUUAUUCCUUGGGCAAGGAAGAAAAGAGGGCUGUUCCCGACAAGGCUUCAGUAUUUAUACACACAGAAGUUAGGGAUUCCACGGGCAGUAACGAUAGUAUCAAGCUUGCAUUUCACAGAAUCACAAACGCAGGUAAGGGAGGCCUCUUCCAUCUCAGAGGGUGUGGCUGUGAAGCUCCCCAGCAGAUAUCGGGAGAAUUAAGAAUGGGCCUUUAAAUCACUACAGAGUUUAAGAAGUUUUCAUGCACUAACUACAUUUUUUUUUUUUUUUUUUUUUUGGUUUUGGUUUUUCGAGACAGGGUUUCUCUGUGGCUUUGGAGCCUGUCCUGGCACUAGCUCUGUAGACCAGGCUGGUCUCGAACUCACAGAGAUCCGCCUGCUUCUGCCUCCCGAAUGCUAGGAUUAAAGGCGUGCGCCACCAUCGCCCAGCACUAACUGCAUUUCUUAAGUGUAACUAAAAGUUUAUAGUUAAUAAUAAUUGUAGAAAAAUGCAGCAACGCUGUUGGCACCUUCUGAGUGGUUCCGCUUCCUCUCCCAGUGGUUGGUAAUCAUAGCAACCUGAAGUCUUGGGAGGAAGGCAAGGUGCCUGAUUUUCAUCAGCCCUAGCUAGCUGAGUUUGCUUCCAACUCCAGCAGGGUGCCUGCCAGCACCCAGGUGAAAGCUGAUUUCUUUCUGCGGCUGGUUUAGCGGCUCAAGCUUCUUUCUGGUAUCUCUAGGGGAAAAGGCAUAAACAGUUAAUCUCUUGGGCUGUGAUCUUAUGUUAAUUGAAACCAAGUUGAAGGGUAAAUACAGAAUAUUAAUAGCUUGUUAGGAUGGAGCAAAAGACCAGUAGAUUGCACCUUCCUGAGCUUGCUGCUAAAUUCAGGGCCACCCAGACCUGUUAGUAAGAGCAGACAUACUGUCUGGUCAGUGCCUCCUGCUUGGGGCUCCUUUCUUGUCAGGCCUGUCAAUAAGGGUAGUUGUGGGGAACUAACUCACGUAGAUUUGACUUUUAGAACAAAGGUUUGGCUGAGUGAAUGCUUUAACACCAGGGCUUCAUGGUUUGGGGAAGUACGGUAUCCAGUUGCUCAUACAGAAAAAGUCAGGUUAUCUCAACGAAUGAUUUAUACAUUGCUGGAUUAUUAUGGAAGGGAGAAACAUCACGAUUCCACAAGACUUUUACAGAAUUGGCAGUGAUUAUGAAAAGGACAAGUGUUCCAGAAGCUCAGCAAUUGGGUUCUCCAUAUGGAGUGUCUGUAUACUUCCCGUGGAUCUGUCUAUUGGUCUGGCAGCUGUACCUUUGCUGUAUAAUCUUGUGGGCUUGUGACAGAGACCCAUUUGCCUCUGCCUCCAGAGUACUGGGAUUAAAGGCAUGUGCCACCAUGCCCGGCUCAAUAAAAUACGUUUUAAAAAUUAUAGGAAUGAGUGAAGUGAUCUUGAAACAAUGUCCACUCCUUCAUGAGUUGUCCCUUGUAGAGCUGCUUCUACUUUUGACUAACUUCUAAAUUCUGAACAAACUGCACCUAAUAGAGUGUUGAUUGCCAAAUCUUUCUGUAGACUUAACAAAACUCAGCACAUCUGGUGAGCUUUAGCAAGUAUAUAGGAAUGUGUAAUAUAAUGCUUGGCUUGCAGAAUGUUUGUCUAAAGAAACUAGACUCAGGAAAUGUAGUUUAGGUCUACUGUGACCUUCUAACCAGACAAUAAAGGAAAGGGUGGACACACUGGAUGAAGACUGCUCAGAAUCUAGCCUUUCUGCCCGGUGUCCUGUCCUGUAAUAUCUCCUCCCAUCCGCUCAGGUCCUCCAAGGGUGCCAGCCUUUGAAUGAUUCCCUUCCCACUAAUCUCUCUUCCUGAAUGUUUUGGCUUUUAGAUGGCAAACAGACAGACUUUGUUCUAGUAAUAGGCCAUUGAACAAAACAGCCAUUUCUGUGGUUCUGUUGCCAGGAAUGUCCACCCUGAGCCAUCUUUGAGAAAACAUCAGACAAACUCAGUGGUGAAAUCAGCAAUAUAGCUGAUUGAUGCUCUUUAAAGAUAUACAAGGUCAUAAAAGACAAAAUGAGGUGUGAAGGUUGUGUAGCUUGGUCUGUUUGUAGGGCUCCUAGCAGUGGGAUCCGGAUCUGUCCAUGGCUCUUGAACUGGCUUUUGGGAACCCAAUCUUUAAGCUGGGUUGCCUUGCCCAACAUUGAUACAGGGGGAGGAACUUGGUCCUGCCUCAUCUUGAUGUCCCAUGGUGUGUUGACUCCCAUGGAAGCCCUGCCCUUUCUGAAUGGAAAUGGUGGAGGGGGGUGUUCAGAAGGGAGUGGGCGAAGGAGAGAGGAAACUGGUCAGUAUGUAAAAUAAAUUUUAAAAUAGGGGAAAAAAUAAUGAAGAACUGGGAGGUUUUAGAGACAGGAAGCAAAAGGCAUCAAGAGAUCCUUGCAGCCAGGCAAUGGUAGCACACGCCUUUAAUCCCAGCACUUGGAGGCAGAGGCAGGCAGAUCUCUAAAUCUGAAGCUAGCCUGAUCUAAGAGCUAGUUCCAGGACAGCCAACCAGGGUUACACAGAGAAACCCUGUCUCAAAAAAACAAAGAGAGGGAGAAAGAUUCUUGCAACAUUGGUGAAAUUUGCAUAAGGUCUUUGCUUUGGUUAAUACUGUGCCAGUGAUAAUUUCUGGUAUCAGUAGUUGGACUGUGGUUAUGAUGAGAUGUUUGCAUUAGGGGAAGCUGGGUAAAUGAUACAUGGAGCCAGGUGGUAAUGGCACAUGCCUUUAGUCCCAGCACUUGGGAGGCAGAGGCAGGCGGAUCUCUGUGAGUUUGAGACCAGCCUGGUCUACAAGAGCUAGUUCCAGGACAGUCUCCAAAGCUACAGAGAAACCCUGUCUCGAAAAAUCAAAAAAAAAAAAAAUAAUAAUAUGUGGAAUCACUGUUCUGUGUAUUUUAGCUUAUAAUAAAAAGUUACAAGUAUUUUAAUAACCUCCAUGUCUGUGUACACACAGACGCCAGGGACUGAACCCACUGCAUUUUGAGCACUUAUGUGGUAGUAUUAAAGAGUUCCACAAUAGCCCAGAAUGGAGUAUGACAAAGGUUUAUUUAUUUGGGGAUAAACUCACAUUAACGGUAGCAAUCCAUAGUCCUCUGCAUGCCCUAGGAACUGGGAACCGGAAACCAAAUCCAGCAGGAAAAGGGGCCGUGCAUACUUUUUGUCUGCACUUGCAGUACAUGCGACCAUGCCCAAAGUGGACUGGUAUCCUAAAGGUUAUUAUUGACUGGAGGAGUGAGUUCCCACAACACACUUACUUGGUUGCUCUACCACCAAGCUACAUAGAGGUCAUCAAAAACGUAUUUAAUGAACAUCAGAGCCAGUUACUCGGGUUUGAAGUAGAUGAGAUGGUAGGAGUCCAGGAGAGGGUCAGAGUACAUAGCUGGGGGGAGGCACAGAAGUAGGAAAGACUGGUUGUUUAAAAAAAAGUAUAGUUAGGUGUUAUUCAAAAAAAGCCUUGGAGUGUAGGGCCCUGGUCUGCCCUUAUUCCUGGGGCGCAUCUCGAGGACAAUUUCUGGUCAACAUGACUAAGCAUUCAGCCCUUAUUCCUAGGGCGCGUACAGUUUCUAGUCAGAUGACUAGCGUUCUGCCCCAUCUGGUUAAGUUCCUGUAUUCAUUCCAUUGUUGAUAUGGUAAUUUCCCACCUGCCUGGGCGGGGGUCCUAGUGCUGCAGUUAGGUAGAAAAGGACCUUCCCAAGUCUGAAUAAAGGCAUUCGCUUGAUCUCCUAUUGAAUUACCCUGGUCUCUCUGUGUCUUGUGUUUAACCUCCAGGCCUUGCCCGACUGGCAUUCGGUACAGUCUUGUUUUUUUAAUGUAUUUGUUUUAUUUAUAUGUGUGUCUGUUCAUGCUGUGUGGAUUAUGUGCCCUGUAUAUGUUCAGGAUCUACAGAGCACAGGAGGACAUCAAAUCCUCUGGAACUGGAAUUACAGACAACUGUGAGCUGCCACGUGGGUUCUGGGAUUUGAACCCCAGUCCUCUGGAAGAGCGGCCAGUGCUCUUAACCACUGAACCAUCUCUCCAGUCCCCCAGUCUUAUUACAACGCAACUUAUGGCUUUAUCCUAUAUAAAAGUGAUAUUAUGGAGUUCGGAUUUUCAGUAAUUUUUGUUUCAUUUUCUACAGUGCUGGGGAUUGAACCCAAGGCUUCAUGCAUGCUAAGCACUUACUGCACUACCAGGCUGUGCCCUUGUACCCUUAGCCUCUGAAUUUUGGUCUUCUCCCAGGCUAGUGAGGUGUGAUAUGCUACACUCUCACGUCUUGGGACAGCUGGUUAUGUGUUCUGUGGUCCUGAACACUCACUGCACACCUGCUGUGCCGUCAGUAGUGUGAUGGUUAAUCCUACUUGUCAGCUUGAUUCUAUCUGGAAUCAACUAAAAGACAAGCCUCUGGGUACACCUGUUAGGUAUUAUCUAGAUAAAACUAACGUCUGGCCAUGGCUGUGAAGGAUUUUCCCCUUUAAAAAAUAUCUUAUUUCUUUAUUGCCGGGCAGUGGUGACACACACCUUUAAUCUCAACACUCAGAGGACAAAGGCAGCCUGAACUCUGAGUUCAAGGCCAACCUAGUAGAGAGAGAGAGAGAGAGAGAGAGAGAGAGAGAGAGAGAGAGAGAGAGAGAGAGAGAGAGAGAGAGAGAGAAUAUUCCAGGACAGCCAGGGCUACACAGAGAAACCCUAUCUCAAAAAAUAUAUUUUUUAAAAUUAUGUGUAGGUGUGUGUUGUGUAGGUGUGUGUCUACAUGUAGGUAUGUGUGUGUGAGUGCAGGUGCCUACAGAAGCCAGAAGAGGUAUCAGAGGAUCUGGAGUUAAAGACAUUUGUGAACUUCCUGACCUGUGGGUGCUUAGAACCAAGCACCUGCCUCUGAAGAACAAUAGCAAGUGUUCUUACCUACUGAGCCAUUGCUCUAGCCCAAGGGAUUUUAAUUACAUUAGCUGAAGUGGGAAGACCCACUUGAUUGUAGGCAGCAGCUUCUAGCACCAGCCACAAAAAGAGGACUGAGUGGGAAACGUUUGCUUUUAUUUUGCUGGUUUGCUUCUUUGUCCUGUUGGUGAGUUCAUCUUCCCUGUGGACAAGUUCACUCUCAUUGUUACUGCUGCUGACAUCAGAACCCAGCUUCUUCAGCCUUCCAGCCUGAACUGAAGACCAGUGGCUCUCCAAGAAUCUUCUGGGACUACUGAGGCUCCCAGCCGAGUAGAUGGAGCAGCUAACAGUUCAUUGUUUCUCCAGUGUUAGGGCAGCCAUUGUUGGGUUACCUAAACCACAUCCUGUAUGUCAAUCUAGUAAGUCCCCCAUUCUAUGUUCAAUUAUAUUUGUUGGUUCUGUUUGUCUAUACAUAAUAAAUUAAGACAUCCGG